GGGUGUGAAGAUAUAAUAGACACAAAACUAUGAGUCUGGGUUAGAGCAAAGAGAAGAAGAAGAGGGUCUUCUUCUAAGGUUGCUGAGUUCACCUCUUUCCUUCCUCCAUCUGUGAGUUUUCUGAAAGUGUCUCAUAUCUAAAACUUUUUCUCCUACUUCUAAUCUUUUGAAGAAUCCAAAUCAAGAUGAAGGAGGCAUUUGAUCGACCAUCGAAGAAGGAUCAGCACAGUACUAGCAUACUGUGCUAAUUUCCUGGACCAGGAUUUCUAAUCGUGAUUCGUGGACUCGUGUGGAUGACUCCUAGAGACCGAACACAUAUGUGGCUC
rnacentral:lncRNA from 1 species